rnacentral:tRNA from 1 species
GGUUGUAUAGUGUAGCGGUUAUCACUCCGGAUUCUGAUGUCGUCAGAACAUUCCGGCAACCCCGGUUCGAUUCCGGGUACGACCU